UGGGGAAUUUUUCGCAAUGGGGGCAACCCUGACGAAGCAACGCCGCGUGGGUGAUGAAGUAUUUCGGUACGUAAAACCCUUUCGACGGGGACGAAACCGCAAGGUUGACGGUACCCGUAGAAGAAGCCCCGGCUAACUCCGUGCCAGCAGCCGCGGUAAUACGGGGGGGGCAAGCGUUGUUCGGAAUUACUGGGCGUAAAGGGCGCGUAGGCGGUUUGCUAAGUUGGAUGUGAAAACUCUGGGCUUAACCCAGAGCCUGCAUCCAAAACUGGCAAACUUGAGUACUGGAGGGGAAAGCGGAAUUCCUGGUGUAGCGGUGAAAUGCGUAGAUAUCAGGAGGAACACCGGUGGCGAAGGCGGCUUUCUGGACAGUAACUGACGCUGAGGCGCGAAAGCUAGGGGAGCAAACAGGAUUAGAUACCCUGGUAGUCCUAGCCCUAAACGAUGGAUACUUGGUGUGAGGGGGAUUGAAUCCCUUCGUGCCGUAGCUAACGCAAUAAGUAUCCCGCCUGGGGAGUACGGUCGCAAGGCUGA
rnacentral:rRNA from 1 species